rnacentral:rRNA from 1 species
UACGGGGGGGGGCAAGCGUUGUUCGGAAUUACUGGGCGUAAAGGGCUCGUAGGUGGCCAACUAAGUCAGACGUGAAAUCCCUCGGCUUAACCGGGGAACUGCGUCUGAUACUGGAUGGCUUGAGUUUGGGAGAGGGACGCGGAAUUCCAGGUGUAGCGGUGAAAUGCGUAGAUAUCUGGAGGAACACCGGUGGCGAAGGCGGGUCUCUGGACAGUUCCUGACGCUGAGGCACGAAGGUCAGGGGGAGCAAAGCGGG